AUUGAACGCUGGCGGCAGGCCUAACACAUGCAAGUCGAACGAGUGGCGGACGGGUGAGUAAUGUCUGGGAAACUGCCUGGUCGACGGGGAUAACGUCCGGAAACGGGCGCUAAUACCGCAUACUAUCAGAUGAGCCUAGGUCGGAUUAGCUAGUUGGUGGGGUAACGGCCUACAAAGGCGACGAUCCGUAACUGGUCUGAGAGGAUGAUCAGUCACACUGGAACUGAGACACGGUCCAGAGGCCUACGGGAGGCAGCAGUGGGGAAGAUUGGACAAUGGGCGAAAGCCUGAUGCAGCCAUGCCGCGGGUAUGAAGAAGGCCUUCGGGGUGUAAAGUACUUUCAGCGGGGAGGCGUUACCCGCAGAAGAAGCAACGGCGAACUCCGUGCCAGCCGCCGCGGUAAUUC
rnacentral:rRNA from 1 species